rnacentral:tRNA from 1 species
GCCUGGGUGGCUCAGUUGGUUAAGCUCUGACUUCAGCUCAGGUCACGAUCUCACGUGGGUUCGAGCCCCACAUUGGGCU